AUGACGACAUCCGAUGGCCGUGCUGCACGUCUUCGAAGCGUCCGCGGUGAAGAUGACCCGCCACAACCUCUCGUCCGCACCGCCAUGUCCGUGCACCCCUUCUGCUUCUACCGGCAGAAACCGGAGACCCGGAGCUCAUCAGGUUGUGUUCAUGUGCUGCAAACCUUCCGAAGAUCGUCGACGCCUGUGAUGUCCGGCAACAACAGCCUGAUGGAACUCACGAGCCCACACACCAUGGUCGCGUUCAUGACCGCCACCAUAGUCUGCAAUUCUGCAUGCACCUCCCUCUGGGGCACCUUCAUGACCGCCACAUGGUGCAGUCGACGACAGCACGGACGUCAUCGGGGUUGCCGACCAUGA
rnacentral:rRNA from 1 species